CACGAACCGUCCAAACGUUAUUCGGUAUCACUGGGCUUAAAGCGUGCGUAGGCGGCCUGGAAGGUGAGGUGUGAAAGCCCACGGCUCAACCGUGGAAUAGCGCCUCAAACCACCAGGCUUGAGGAAGACAGGGGUGAUCGGAACUGAUGGUGGAGCGGUGAAAUGCGUUGAUAUCAUCAGGAACACCGGUGGCGAAAGCGGAUCACUGGGUCUUUUCUGACGCUGAGGCACGAAAGCUAGGGUAGCGAACGGG
rnacentral:misc_RNA from 1 species